rnacentral:rRNA from 1 species
GAGUUUGAUCAUGGCUCAGGAUGAACGCUAGCGGGAGGCUUAACACAUGCAAGUCGAGGGGCAGCACGAGGUAGCAAUACUUUGGUGGCGACCGGCGCACGGGUGAGUAACGCGUAUGCAACCUACCCUGUACAGGGGAUAGCCCGGAGAAAUUCGGAUUAAUACCCCAUAACGAUAUCGAGAGGCAUCUUUUGAUAUUUAAAGUUUCGACGGUACGGGAUGGGCAUGCGUGACAUUAGCUAGUUGGUAGGGUAACGGCCUACCAAGGCUUCGAUGUCUAGGGGUCCUGAGAGGGUGAUCCCCCACACUGGUACUGAGACACGGACCAGACCCCUACGGGAGGCAGCAGUAAGGAAUAUUGGUCAAUGGACGCAAGUCUGAACCAGCCAUGCCGCGUGCAGGAAGACAGCCCUAUGGGUUGUAAACUGCUUUUUCGCAUGAAGAACACCCCUGACGUGUCGGGGGCUGACGGUAAUGCGUGAAUAAGCACCGGCUAACUCCGUGCCAGCAGCCGCGGUAAUACGGAGG